ensembl:lncRNA
AGUCUAUCGCUAGCUCAUCUGUGCUGACUCAGCAGGAACCUUUCUGUUAGCUGGUUCUGGAGCAGGCAGCAGCGUGUUCUGCAACAAGGAUUUUGCAGUGGACUUUCCUGGGGUGCUUAGUUCUCAGCUAGACAAGAAGAUGGCUCCUUCGUUAAACCAAUGGGUCUUGGACAAAAGCCUUGGCAGGACUUGAUUCUCCUCCUGUUGCUAUGCCCACGGCUGCGGAAUCAGCCUCACCAGGAAGGACCAGCCAGAUCCCAGCUCUCUGGAGGAAUCUUCCUCUCCAUCUGGAUCCUGAGGAUUGCCCAAGUGAUUAUAAGCCCAUUGCAGGUGGAGACUCUGCAACUGAAGACAUGGUACCACGCUGUUUGCGAAUGUGGAAAGGGGAGGAACCGUGGGAGAUUAGCAAGCCUAAGUUUUCAAUGGAAACGGUAUCAUUCUCUUCCUGCCCCAGUCUCCAGGGCACUGCAGAAGGGGAAGCAGCCCCAGGCCUGGCCUGAAGGGAGACUGAACUACUAUUCGUGUAUGAAGCCAGUAAGGGGUAACAGCACAGAACGCCCGGACUGGUCUCCUAAUUCCAACACCUGCUACAUAUUUGGUCUCACAGAUUUCAAAUAAAUUGUUUAA